AUUGAACGCUGGCGGCAGGCCUAACACAUGCAAGUCGAACGAGUGGCGGAAGGGUGAGUAAUGUCUGGGAAACUGCCUGAUGGAGGGGGAUAACUACUGGAAACGGUAGCUAAUACCGCAUACCAUCGGAUGUGCCCAGAUGGGAUUUGCUUGAUGGUGGGGUAACGGCUCACCAAGGCGACGAUCCCUAGCGGGUCUGAGAGGAUGACCAGCCACACUCGAACUGAGACUCGGUCCAGACUCCGACGGGAGGCAGCAGUGGGGAAUAUUGCACAAUGGGCGCAAGCCUGAUGCAGCCAUGCCGCGUGUGUGAAGAAGGCCUUCGGGUUGUAAAGCACUUUCAGCGAGGAGGCGUUACCCGCAGAAGAAGCACCGGCUAACUCCGUGCCAGCAGCCGCGGUAAUUC
rnacentral:rRNA from 1 species